ensembl:lncRNA
CCAGGCCCCAAGCACCCAGGACAGUGAGCAGUUUGGAGACCAGAGCCUGGCGUGCUCACCCCUCAGGGCCAUCAGCACACAAGGGGCCCACACCCACGCUCCAGGGGAUGAAAGGGCCAGCUAGAAAGGGCCCCAAAUGUGAAAGGCUGUUCCAGGAAAACCUGGGGAAAUAUUCCUAACUUCUCUCACAAUCAAACAAAUGAAAAUCAAUACAACUGCACAAUGCCAUCUCCACCCUACACCCAGAAGAAUCGAGAAAAUGGAGCAAAUGCUAGGUGUGUCGCCAGGUGUGCCGGUGGCCUCUGGGCCUGGGGCCGUGCAAGGAACUGGUGACCCCAGUGCAGGACACCUGAGAAGAGCAUCCCUUCUCCCACGGGAGUGUCUGGAGUCCAGAGGGGUACAUGCAUGAAGACCUGCAUGGAAACUACACCGAAACCUGCUCAGUGGAGCCGCCUUUGGCCUGAGAACAGGUGGGGAAGAGUAUUUGGAUCUCAUUUCGUACUCUUAAAAUGUCAUCAGGAAACAUCUGGAUGGAAGGGUUUGUGGUAAAUUUGAUUUCCUUCUUUACACUUUUCUCUAUUAACAAGAACCAAAGUCAGUAUCUUUAAAUGUUUCAAAACAAACACGGACUCCUCCACCCUGGGGAUAAAGUCCGCGCCCAGGCUGCUUUCCCUCCAGUCUCUCCGGCUCCUGGCCCAGAGCCCUGGGGCGCUGUAGCCCCAUCAGCGGGGACUCACCCGCGCCUGCCUGCAUCACUCCAGGCACCCAGCCCUCACCUGUCCCUGCCCGGCCAGCUCCUGGACCCAGGUCCCCCUCGGCCAGGCCGGCACCCCAUGCGGUCGUCAUGGCCUCUCCACUCCCGGGGAGCAGGACAGGCCGUGCAGAACCGUGCCGGGCCUGGCACACGUGGGCAUCAUGGGCCGAGAGCUGAGUGGAGCACGAGUUGGCCCAGGCCUCUCCCCACGUAGGCCCCAGACGCCGGCCGAGCCGGGCAGUUUGGAGGAGCAGACAGAGCUGCAGCCGCAGGGCUGUGCUCGACUCCAAGGUGGCUCCUAUUUCCUCUUUUGUGGGUGCCAGGUCCCUGAACAAAUAUUUUCCUGGAGUGGAGGAACGGCGCGGCUCCCAGGCUUAAGUGCUGGAGGGGUGGCUGGGCAGGGCAGUUUCCAGGAACCAACUGAGGAGGAGCAGCUGCCGCCAGGCAGGGGUCACUUGGCUGCCCUGAGCGGUGCCGGCUGGCUGCGGGCAGCUGAGGCUGAGGCGGGCUGCUCACCCACCCGGGCCACGCCAGAGGCCGGGCCCUGUGGGACUCAGUGGGACGCCUUUGUGCUGGGCCUCUCUGCCUGUAAAUUAGAAUCUGCUGGGAUCAGAGGCAAACGUGGGCCAUGCGGGCCUCCCCUGUUUGUGCUGCAACGCCUGUGGUGGGGUUUAAACUAAUUAGCAUCUCAGAAGCCCUUUCGUCAGUGUGUUUUUCCCUUUAACUUUCCUGCUGCACAGCAACACAUGGUAGGCUCCUCUGCUCCUCUACGGUACAGCUUGGUGGUUUGUUUGCAUAUGCAUUCACCCUGGCGAUCACCACGCACAGCGAGCCGCAGAGUGCUUCACAGGACUUCCUCUGUGCCCGGCCUGCCAAUGCCACACCUGGGCCAGAGGUGCCAUCGGCUCCCGAGGUCACCCGCCAGCUCUGUUGAUGGCUGUUUCCCUGUCUGGGCCGUGGUUAGGGCCGCUGUGAACGCUCCUACAGGCACUUCCGGCAGACACGUGCUCCACUUCCCUUGGAUCACAGAGGAGGUGAAUGUGCAGCCACAGCCACACCAUCUGCAAGCGCUCACUGGGUCGGCGCCCCACGGCCUGGCACGUCUGCCCCGGCCCGGAGUCUCGGUACCGGUACCGUACUGCCCUUCCCAAUUCCAGCCUUUGGAGGGGGGAGGAGGGUGCUGUCCGCUGCUCUUAGAUUUCCAGGCGCCCUCGGACCCUCAAGGCAGGAAGGAGAGCGCUCAGACAUCAGUGGCCCAGCUCGGCUGGGCUGGGGCUCAUAACUCCGCCCCCAGGAGCAGCCAGAAGCCACAUGGACAGAGGUCUGUGCUAAGGUGGCAGGAGGUGCCCGGUGACCCCGAAGUGAGGGGUACAGCAUACCCACCCUGUACUCUCAGGGAGACAGCCCACACGGGUGGGUGUGACCCCCAGCAAUGCAGGAGGUGGGGUGCCCCAGUGCUGGGGAGCUUGUGGCAAGCAGAGCUGCUCUCUGCCAGCUGGAGCGGGAGCUGGAGCGGGAGCUGGAGCUGGAGCGGGA